rnacentral:lncRNA from 1 species
GAUUUGAACUCAGGACCUUUGGAAGAGCAGUCGGCGCUCUUAACUGCUGAGCCAUCUCACCAGCCCAACAUGUUUUUAAUAACUAAGCGUAAUUAAUUUCUUACUAUUUCAUGGCCUCAGGACCUUAAUUAUUAAUUCGUAGUUUAAGAUAGUUUUAAAAGGCUGACCUUACAGGGUCAGAAGACAAGGUAACUGUUUCAAACAGUAGAAUGAACUAAUUGAAUCUUGUAUUUUCAUAAGACCUUUUGACAGUCUUCCAUUAGCAUGCAAUAACUGUGACCCCCCACUUUACAGAUGAGGCUGGUCAUAGUCUGUUAACUCUAUAGGAUAUACCUUCUAGUAAAUGGAUAGAAGUUAGAUGCAAAAACAACUGGAAGCUGAAACAGGAAAAUUACAUGUUUGAAGCUAAUCUGGGUUAUGUAGCGAGGUCCUAUCUUGAACAGCAACAACCACAACAAAUUUCUAAUCCAAAAGUUUAUGCUCUUAAAAAUGUAAUAUUCUUUGAGAAUUUAAUUUUUGACUUAGACAAGAGAUGACAGGUAGGUAAGAUGUUUUACCUCCCAGAAUGGCUACAUCACCAUGAAACAAAGAGCAAAGGGGACUUUAAUAGUAGUGAAAUGAUGGCCUAGACAGUAUUGUGCUUAAUCUGUGCUGUCUUUUAUUUGUUAAAGGUGUUCGUUUAUUCAGAGUUAAGAUUGUAAUUUUUACACAUCUCAACUGUAAAACAUUGAUUGGUUUAUUAAAAACCAAAUUGAUUUAUUAAAACACAGUGUAUUGAUACACACCAGAAAUCACAGCACUCCAGAGGAAGAAGGGGGUAGGGUUGCAAGUUUUAGACCAGCCUGUGCUACAUGAAGAAAUCCUAAACAAAAUAAAGCAAGCAGAUAUUUUCCUCAAUAAAGAACACUUUCCUCUCUUUCCCUAAGGAACAAUGACUGUUUGGUGUUAUUACUUUAAUCCACACAAGAAGCAAGCAAUUACCUAGUCAUAAACCUCAAGAUAUUCUCUUAGAGCUUCUGGGUUUAAUCCAGUUUUGAAACAAUCCCUUGACAACCUUCAUUUUUAAUUAUUGCUACCCUGGACAUUUUUAUUUAUUACUACCAUGGAUGAGGGUAGGUUAUGAGUGAAGGAACAUAACAUAGCAAAGAAAAAAUUAGUAACCUUUGAAUGUGGUUUAGCUGUGGGGUCUUAGUGGCUAAUCUUAAAACUUAUUUUUUCAUUUGUAUUGUCCAUAGAGUUUUUCUAGAAUGCAGGUUUAAAUAUCUUUUCUAUGAAGAAGUGAGCAUAACUGAAAAUAGCUAUAAAAUGGGUAAGAACUAUGUACUCAUUGCUAUAUUUGAAUUUCACUUUAGUUUACAGAGGAAUAGUUUGAUUUUCAUUUUGAUCAAGUCUCAUGUAGAAAUGGGAUUGAGAGGAUCUGUUCACAAAUGUCAAGGUGUAAGAAGCAGUAUGUUAGGUUCUUGAGAGAGGAGAUAGUUUGAGGCUAUUGAUUAAAUAGUAUUUCUAAAAAACUAUACAUGCUUUCUUAAGCCCGUCUUACUCUGUAACCUUUCGCAGUGCGCUUCCCAUUUUAUCUUUAAUUUUAAGCAUGCUCAUUUUCUUCCACAGGCUGAGCUAGCUACCACAUUCUAACAACUCUUAGAUCUAGAGCUCUUGGCCCCAGACUCCUGGAGUUCUAGGUACCUACUUCCUGUGUCUUCUUUCUGUAUUUCUCUGCAGGGUUCAUAUUUCAGGUGAAACCUAAACUCAUUUAACCCCUUUCCUACUUUACCUAAAAAUCUAGCUGCCUCCAUUAUCAUUAUCAUUAUCAUUAUCCAAUUCCAGAUUGUCCUAGUCCCUGUCCCCUGCCUCCUUGCAUUUUACAGUAGAGUCCCUUUCCCUCUUCAUCUGUUUGCUCUCUCAUGGUCUCUAUGCUUCAGUUGCAAAACCCCUUUUUAACCUUAAGUACAUAGUACUGUUUUAUACCUAUGAAUCUAUCUGCUUCUGCUUCUCUCUUCUUUAACUUUUUUCCUACCAUCUUAUUACCAAUUCCUUCACAGAGAGAGAAAGAAACAAUAUUUUACUUGGUAAUACUAUUUCAUAAAACUCUAAAACCAAUUGAUAAAGGAAUGUAUAUCUAAUAAGAGUAAUUUGCCAAAGGACAAAUGACUUGAGGUAAAGCCAGGCUACACUGUAUCUACUAAUUCCAUAUCUAGUGAUCCGACCACCCCUAGAUGCUGCUAAAUUUUCUUAUAACCAAUGAUCUUUGGCUGGCAUCCUUGGUAUAGAAAAGGCAGAGUAUGUAUUAUCUCAUAAAGUUGUCUUUUCACCUUGACCAUAAACCAUUGUAUUCUCCUCACAGGCAGAAAAUAAAUCAAUGUAAUUAAAGAUUUAAAAAUAUUUUCACUUGUUAUGUUUAUGGAUAUUUUUGCAUUCAGGGCUGUAUGUGUACCAUAUGAAUGCCUGAUUACCAUGGAGGUCAAAAGAUAUCAAAUCCCUGGGACUGGAGUUACUGACAGACGUGAGCUGCCAUGUGAAUGCUGGGAAUCAAACCUGGGUCCUCUGCAAGAGCAGGAAGUGUUCUUAACAACUGAACCAUCUCUCCUGUCCCCCCUUUUAAGAUUUACUUAUUUUUAUUUUGUGUGUAUGAAUGUUUGUAUGCAUGCAUAUGAAAUCAAUGUAAAAUUUUAAAAUGGCAAGUAUUUAUUUAGCUUCAAACUAAAAAAUGAGGAAUGAGAUUCAGAGCUAUUUUCAACUUGAUUUAUUUUGAGUGUAAAAUUGUCAGUGUCCACUAUCUAGGAAGAAUCACCAUAAAGAAACACAGUAAAUGUAGGAAACAGUUUGGGAAGUGAUAUAAAAUUGUAUAAAAAGAGAAAGAGGCCUCACAAUUAACACAGCAAGUGACACGGGAUUUAAGUAUACAGAUUUUUUUAAACCUUUAAAUAAGAGAAAACUUGAGCUGAGAGGGGGAAAAAAUUAUCCCAGAAGUACUUGGGAAGAAAGAGAUAAGCAAAGAUGCUGGAAAAAAAGGAUAAUAGAGCCUUUGCCAGGCAUGCAGAAGACACUGAGCCCCAGCCUCAGCAUCAUUU